rnacentral:rRNA from 1 species
AUUGAACGCUGGCGGCAGGCCUAACACAUGCAAGUCGAGCGGUAGAGAGGUGCUUGCAUCUCUUGAGAGCGGCGGACGGGUGAGUAAUGCCUAGGAAUCUGCCUAGUGGUGGGGGGAUAACGUUCGGAAACGGACGCUAAUACCGCAUACGUCCUACGGGAGAAAGCGGGGGAUCGUUCGGACCUCGCGCCAUUAGAUGAGCCUAGGUCGGAUUAGCUAGUUGGUGAGGUAAUGGCUCACCAAGGCGACGAUCCGUAACUGGUCUGAG